AAUCAACGCUGGCGGCGUGCCUAAACAUGCAAGUCGAGCGCGAAAGUGGGCUUCGGCCCACGAGUAGAGCGGCGAACGGGUGAGUAACGCGUGGGUGAUCUACCUCCGAGUGGGGAAUAACACCGGGAAACUGGUGCUAAUACCGCAUGACAUCCUCGAUUCGUUUCGGGGAUCAAAGCUGGGGACCGCAAGGCCUGGCGCUUGGAGAGGAGCCCGCGUCCGAUUAGCUUGUUGGCGGGGUAAUGGCCCACCAAGGCUUCGAUCGGUAGCCGGCCUGAGAGGGCGGACGGCCACACUGGGACUGAGACACGGCCCAGACUCCUACGGGAGGCAGCAGUG
rnacentral:rRNA from 1 species